CCUACGGGGGGCUGCAGUGGGGAAUAUUGCACAAUGGGCGCAAGCCUGAUGCAGCCAUGCCGCGUGUGUGAAGAAGGCCUUCGGGUUGUAAAGCACUUUCAGCGGGGAGGAAGGCGGUGAGGUUAAUAACCUCAUCGAUUGACGUUACCCGCAGAAGAAGCACCGGCUAACUCCGUGCCAGCAGCCGCGGUAAUACGGAGGGUGCAAGCGUUAAUCGGAAUUACUGGGCGUAAAGCGCACGCAGGCGGUCUGUCAAGUCGGAUGUGAAAUCCCCGGGCUCAACCUGGGAACUGCAUUCGAAACUGGCAGGCUAGAGUCUUGUAGAGGGGGGUAGAAUUCCCGGUGUAGCGGUGAAAUGCGUAGAGAUCUGGAGGAAUACCGGUGGCGAAGGCGGCCCCCUGGACAAAGACUGACGCUCAGGUGCGAAAGCGUGGGGAGCAAACAGGAUUAGAUACCCUUGUAGUC
rnacentral:rRNA from 1 species